rnacentral:lncRNA from 10 species
AUUAGAGAGGCUCAAAGUCCCACUUCUGCUGCAGAAGAAAAUAAGAGUCCCUGUUUUCUCAGAUCUGUCCAAAACUUUCUGUGAGUGCAGCUCACAGACCCAAGGGCCUCUAGACGCCCCCACCCAGAACUGCUGAGUGAAUGGUCAAGGCUUCCUUAGAUAGUCCUGGCUUGUGAACCAUUGACUUGUAUAGACUUAGAUAUUUUAUACAUUAUUUAAAGUUCAUGAAGGCACCAUGUUUGAAGCAUAUUUAGACAUUGCUUUUAAAGAAAAAUAGCUUUAAUGGUGCACCUGAGAGUGACAUAAGCAUAACCAUAUUAUCUUUUAAAUGGAAUUUUCCCCCUUCAUUUUUAUUUUUGAGAUAGGAUCUUGCAAUAUUCUCCAGACUGGGGACCUCUGGGCUCAAGCAAUCCUCCUACCUCGGCCUCUGGAGUAGCUGGGACUACAGGCACCACCAUGCCUGGCUUCCCUGUCAUUUUUAUCUCAAUUGUUUAGAAGUUUAAUGGGAAUGAAAGAAGAGGGUCUUAGAAAUAUUUAGGUGAUUGUUUAAAAACUUCCAAAGACCCUACUUCCACGGACACUCGUAUUAUUCAUUUUAAUUUUUUUUAAGAUGGAAAGAGUGUUUCAAGGAAGUGAAGUGAUGGUCACAGGGGAAGCAUGAAGAGGAUGGAGAGAAGGUGGGUGAGGCCCAGUGAGUGUCAGAAACUCAGACCUCAUGGGUCACUGUGGAGUGGAGGGCCCACACAUUUCUUCAGCACCAAUCCUGUUUUCAGGGAGACCCUCUAUCUGGGGAGGAGCCCCCCUGACCUGCCUGUUCUGGAAAACAAGGACCCUUCACACUUAUCAGGCAGCUUACACAUCCGCUUCACCCCAGCACUAAGGAGCAAGGCUCAGGGCCUGAGGCCAUUUCAUCAACAUGCUUAGUUUAAUUUAAAGAAUAAUAAAGGAGCAGGCUUGGAGUGGAAAACCUGCACAUGAAGGUUCAGACCAAGAUAACUGUUUCCUUCCGAAGGCUCAAUUUCUGUUUGUAGCUGUGUUUGUUUAGUGCCUUUGGAGGAAUUCCUCACUAGAGUCCUUAAACUGAAGCUGCCGACUCGGACCACUCUAUGCUUCAGCAGCAGGACUUGUUUUAGGCUUGCAAGAUGGAAACAGGUGCAAAAGGUUUGUUUAAAGGGAGCCUCCCCUAAAUGAUAGAACAUGCUGGUACUGGGUGGGGCUGGGCUGGUGCUGCCUGGUUGGGCGGAGGUGAACAUCUGCCCAGGAAGGGGUGUGCAGGGCUGUCAGCCACACUGAAGGGGGUCCCAGAUGAGAGGAGCCCUGGGGAGGGGCAACAAUGGGACCUCCUAGGAAGAAGGCAGGAGUGUCCUAGCCGGGACCCAAAGCCACAUUCCUGCCAGGUGGAGCUCCUCCUGGCCUGCUGGUGCAUCAUGGAUUUGGAGCUCAAGAAGGCGGCUGUCUACCUGUUGUUGGAUUCACUUUUUACCUUUUAGAUCCACACUACAGCUAUGUAUUUGCAUAACUCAGCUUUGGCUGUCACAGAGGGGAGCAGCUGUGCCCAUGGCUCCUGCACCUGCCCUGGUCGCAACACACACAGGCUGAACUCGGCAAGGCUGCUCUGUCUCUGCAGAUCCAGGCUCUGUCCCACCUCCUGCUGAGGGACAGCCGGCAGGCCAGGCUUCCCUCACUCUCCCUAGGAAGCCAGGUCAGUUGCUCUUUUAGCAUGUAUUUUGUAUUCAGUAAAUAAGGCUUUAUGUCUUUUCACAGAUAGCAGAGAACGACCACAUGGUUACAAGCAUGCUUUUUCCUCCAAUUCUUCCCUGUAAACUUGGAUUCUGACAUCCAGGAGACACCAAGGGAACAAACUGGAUAAUUGGAACUACACCACAGGCCUAGUGGUUUUAAAGGCCAAUUUCUGUGGCUUCAAAUUCCAAAGGAAUGGGUGGGAAGUCAGAGAGGACCUGGAAGCCAAGGAUAGUGCAAGUUCCGAGUGGGGGCCUCAUCCAUGCUCAUGAGUGGGUGGUCAGAGUGGACCCAGAAGCCAAGGAUAGUCACAAAGUCAACAGAGAAAAGGGAGGCGACGCAGGAGGGACUCAGAUGUUUCUCAGCACGUCUUUAAAGAAAUGAAGACACCCCAAGGGUCCUGCCCAGACCUCUCCUGGCUGGAAUCAAGGUCCUGAUGGAGAUCAUCAUGGAAAAUGCAGCCAGCACUUGUGCCCCAUGGGGCUGGGCUGGGGGAACAAGGACUUCAGCCCUCCAGUGGGGGAGGCUGAGUAUGUGCAGGGCGGACGUGGCUGGGUGGCCUCUGCCCGGGACGGAUGGGCUGCAAUGUGGACUCUGCCUGGCUUGGACACUCCCACACCCACUCCAGUGGCUCAGCCUUCCCGGACUGGCUUCUGUUAAUCUGUUUCCCAUUCUUUUCCUUUUAAAUUGAAUCAGGCCUGAGAGGAUAAACACUUCCAAGUGAAAUAAAUCUUGGUAUUUGAGGGCUAUUAGGCUUUUCACCUGCUUCUUCAAAAAGUCUCUACAAAAACAAAAACAGAAACCCAUGGAGGCUGGUUAGGGGAAGCAGCACUUUAAUUUCAGGGCGGUGCUGAUAGCUGGGCCAUCGAUCUGCAGGGGCAGGGGAUGGGCCAAGGCCUCGGCGGGGGUUCUCUGUGGCUUGGGCCGGCGGUUAAAUGAAAUGAAUGGCUCGGUCAUAAACUGGUUGGAAUGAAUCAAUUGAGUCGAACAAGGACAGGAUCAUGUGCUGGGAGAGUGAGAACCAAAUAGGUUUGAAGGAAGCAUACCUUGAAAACUACAGCUGCCGCAAGCUCUUGCAAUCAGGAAACUGAUGAGCAGUUAAUUUGUGUGAAAGUAGGGGAAGGUCUAAUGGUGGUUGCGUGAUAAGAAACAAGGCUGUGGAUUGCUGAUGGAGCCCAUCAAUCUUCCAGGAGUAGCCGAACGUUCCCUCGUCACAUGAGUAAGGAAACGUACGGGACUGUGAACCCGCUGGGCUUCCGGCACACAAUUAGCUGAUGCCAUGGUGCACCCUGGCUUGUCUCUCUCUGCAAGCAUUAUUUUGCUAAUUAAGUUGUAGACACUUUAAGGUCAAAGGCUCUGUCUUAGACCGUUUUAUGUGGUGGGCACAAGAAUAAUAUGAUAUCACUUAUGUUAAUUAAGGAUACUAUUAUAAGUAUCAUAUUAACAUUAACAAAUGUUUAUUGUUGAUUUCUCUAGCAAAUGAUCAUUCCA